UAUUUUAAAACUUGUCUAUAUUUGAGGUAUACAAUGUGGUGUUCUGAUAAUACAUAUAUAUGGUGAAGUGAUUACUAUAGUUAAUUAAUAUAUUCGUCGUCUCACAUACUAUGUUAGUCCUUUCUCACACUGCUAUAAUAAAGAGUUACCUGAGACUGGGUAAUUUAUAAAGGAAAGGAGGGUUAAUUGUCAUUUCAGCAUUAACUCAAAAGCCCAAUGUCCAAAGUCUCAUCUGAGACAAGGCAAGUCCAUUCCACCUAUAAGCCUAUAAAAUCAAAAGCAAAUUGGUUACUUCCUAGAUACAAUGAGGUCCAGGCAUUGGGCAAAUAGAUCUAUUCCAAGUGGUAAAAAUUGGCCAAAACAAAGGUGCCACAGCCCCAUGCAAGUCCCAAAUCCAGCGGGGUAAUAAUUAAAUUGGGCCUGGCACAAAAAUUAUUUUUUCCUCCUAGGCCUCUGGGCCUCUGAUGGGAGAGGCUGCCACCAAGAUCUCUGACAUGCCCUGGAGGCAUUUCCCCCAUUAUCUUGGUGAUUAACAUUGGCUACUCGUUACUUAUGCAAAUUUCUGCAGCAGGCUUGAAUUUCUCCCCAGAAAAUGGGGUUUUCUUUUUUUAUUGCAUUGUCAGACUGCAAAUUUUCCAAACUUUUAUGCUCUGCUUCCCUUUUAAAUGUAAGUUCCAAUUUCAGAUAAUCUCUAUCAAGUUCAAAAGUCCACAGAUCUCUAGGGCAAGGGCAAAAUGCCACCAGUCUCUUUGCUAAGGCAUAGCAAGAGUGACCUUUGCUUCAGUUCCCAGUAAGUUCUUCAUCUCCAUAUGAGACCACCUCAGCCUGGACUUCAUUGUCCAUAUUACUAUCAGCAUUUUGGUCAAAACCAUUCAACAAGUCUCUAGGAAGUUUCAUACUUUUCCACAUAUUUCUGUCUUCUUCUGAGCCCUCCAAACUGUUCCAAUCUCUACCCAGUUCCAAAGUCUUUUCCAUAUUUUCAGUUAUCUUUAUAGCAGUACCCCGCUGUGCUGGUACCAAUUCUCUGUAUUAGUCUAUUUUCACACUGCUAUAAAGAUACUACCUGAGACUGGGUAAUUUACAAAGAAAAGAGAUUUAAUUAACUCACAGUUUUGCAAGGCUGAGGAGGCCUCAGGAAACUUCCAAUUAUGGCAGAAGGCGAAACAGGCACCUUCUUCACAAGGUGGCAGCAAAGUGAACCCUUGUGAAGAAGGAACUGUCAAACACGCAUAAAACCAUUAGAUCUUGUGAGAACUCACUAUCACGACAACUGCAUGGGGAAACCACCCCAUGAUUCAAUCACCUCCCAUGAGGUCCUUCCCUAAACUCCUGGAGAUUACAAUUUGAGAUGAGAUUUGGGUGGGGACACAAAGUCAAACCAUAUCACAAAGUUAAUCUUUCCUUUUAGUUAAUCUUGUAGGAUUACCUAAGAUAGACCCUUCUGGCAAAUUUCCAGCAUACAGUACAAUAUUAUUAAUAAUCUUCACAUUGUACACUA
rnacentral:lncRNA from 10 species